ACACUGAUGGUGAAACGGUAUCAUGCUUGCCUUCCAUGCAGGCCCAUUGAAUGUAGCCAGCUAGCAAGCGGCGUGGGUUCGACUCCCGCUCAGUGUA